rnacentral:rRNA from 1 species
AUGGGACGGCUAGGGAAUGAUCCGCUCGAGCGUGUCUCGAAGCUCAUUGAUUCUCAUACAGGGACCUGGGAUUGUGAAAAAGUACGACAGAACGUUCUUACACUUGAUGCGGAGGCCAUAUUAAACAUUCCUAUUCGGCGCAACGGUGGAGAAGAUUUCUUGGCAUGGGCCUUUGAAAGAUCCAGAGAGUACACUGUAAAAUCAGCCUACCGUGCUCUUGUGACUUAGAACGAGCGUCGAGCUCUAGAGGAAGGGACAGCAGAGGGAACUUCAACUUCUCAGAAACAGUUCUGGACUGCUCUAUGGAAACUCAAAGUGAUCCCAAGAGUUCAUGUUUUCGUGUGA